UACGUAGGGUGCGAGCGUUGUCCGGAAUUAUUGGGCGUAAAGAGCUCGUAGGCGGUGUGUCGCGUCGGCCGUGAAAACCUGGGGCUCAACUCUGGGCGUGCGGUCGAUACGGGCAUCACUUGAGUUCGGCAGGGGAGGCUGGAAUUCCUGGUGUAGCGGUGAAAUGCGCAGAUAUCAGGAGGAACACCGGUGGCGAAGGCGGGUCUCUGGGCCGAUACUGACGCUGAGGAGCGAAAGCAUGGGUAGCGAACAGG
rnacentral:rRNA from 1 species